rnacentral:rRNA from 1 species
GAUGAACGCUGGCGGCGUGCCUAAUACAUGCAAGUCGAGCGAACAGAUGAGGAGCUUGCUCCUCUGACGUUAGCGGCGGACGGGUGAGUAACACGUGGAUAACCUACCUAUAAGACUGGGAUAACUUCGGGAAACCGGAGCUAAUACCGGAUAAUAUAUUGAACCGCAUGGUUCAAUAGUGAAAGACGGUUUUGCUGUCACUUAUAGAUGGAUCCGCGCCGCAUUAGCUAGUUGGUAAGGUAACGGCUUACCAAGGCAACGAUGCGUAGCCGACCUGAGAGGGUGAUCGGCCACACUGGGACUGAGACACGGUCCAGACUCCUACGGGAGGCAGCAGUAGGGAAUCUUCCGCAAUGGGCGAAAGCCUGACGGAGCAACGCCGCGUGAGUGAUGAAGGUCUUCGGAUCGUAAAACUCUGUUAUUAGGGAAGAACAAAUGUGUAAGUAACUAUGCACGCCUUGACGGUACCUAAUCAGAAAGCCACGGCUAACUACGUG